CCGCACGCUUGCGGCGUGCUUCACCCCUGCAAGUCGAACGGAAAGGCCCUGCUUUUGUGGGGUGCUCGAGUGGCGAACGGGUGAGUAACACGUGAGUAACCUGCCCUUGACUUUGGGAUAACUUCAGGAAACUGGGGCUAAUACCGGAUAGGAGCUCCUGCUGCUUGGUGGGGGUUGGAAAGUUUCGGCGGUUGGGGAUGGACUCGCGGCUUAUCAGCUUGUUGGUGGGGUAGUGGCUUACCAAGGCUUUGACGGGUAGCCGGCCUGAGAGGGUGACCGGCCACAUUGGGACUGAGAUACGGCACAGACUCCUACGGGAGGCAGCAGUGGGGAAUAUUGCACAAUGGGCGGAGGCCUGAUGCAGCAACGCCGCGUGCGGGAUGACGGCCUUCGGGUUGUAAACCGCUUUCGCCUGUGACGAAGCGUGAGUGACGGUAAUGGGUAAAGAAGCACCGGCUAACUACGUG
rnacentral:rRNA from 1 species